GAUGAACGCUGGCGGCGUGCCUAACACAUGCAAGUCGAGCGAUUUACUUCGGUAAAGAGCGGCGGACGGGUGAGUAACGCGUGGGUAACCUGCCCUGUACACACGGAUAACAUACCGAAAGGUAUGCUAAUACGAGAUAAUAUGCUUUUAUCGCAUGGUAGAAGUAUCAAAGCUCCGGCGGUACAGGAUGGACCCGCGUCUGAUUAGCUAGUUGGUAAGGUAACGGCUUACCAAGGCGACGAUCAGUAGCCGACCUGAGAGGGUGAUCGGCCACAUUGGAACGGAGACACGGUCCAAACUCCUACGGGAGGCAGCAGUGGGGAAUAUUGCACAAUGGGCGAAAGCCUGAUGCAGCAACGCCGCGUGAGCGAUGAAGGCCUUCGGGUCGUAAAGCUCUGUCCUCAAGGAUGAUAAUGACGGUACUUGAGGAGGAAGCCCCGGCUAACUACGUGCCAGCCGCCGCCGUAA
rnacentral:rRNA from 1 species